UUGCGACAUUUGAGCUUCCAAGCUUUGAGAAAUAACAGGUCAUGUGGGAAUUUGGCAUAUAAUUUUGUUGCAGGGAAGUAUGGCCAUCAUUGUAGCAACGGCCUGUUUGCAUAACCUAGCAUUGAGACGAAACGAUCCCGUCCCGCCGCAAGAUGAUGAUCCACGUCCUGCACGAUACCCACAGCCAAAUAUGGAGGCCAAUCAAGUUGAGGCACAUCUCCGAGCAACGUAUUCAGGGAGAGAUUCGUAAGAGAUCAUUUCCAGUAGCCAAGUGCAGCGUCAGCCUUCGACAACACAGGAGUUGUCUUUACAGAAUCAGGCGCUGGCAAGUCUGAUGGUGGUUUCGAUUGCCUGAAUGAAGAAAUCGAAGAGUCACGUGAAUCUGUAGUGCAAGUGAUUGUGGAAAC